UGGGAAUCAUCUACUUUAGUGAUUCGUGGAUUCUUACUCAUUUCAUUCGUUCCUACGCGAUGGAAAUCGGGAAUUACGGGAAUAAUUCGUACCGGUGUAUCUUAGGGCUAGAUUUUUCGUUCGUGGUAUCGAGGUCCAGAGAAGCCUGACGGUACGUAAAGAUUUUAUCUCGCUUAAGCCACUGAAAAGUCGAGAACCCACACUUUGAAAAACGCUGCUUUAAGGGAACAGAGGACAUCAAUGUACACUUGGCUAUAUUGGUGAUGACUCAAAGCGUAGGGUUAAGAUCAGAGGACAUCAAUGUUCACUUACCUAUAGUGGUGAUGAC